rnacentral:rRNA from 1 species
AGUAACACGUGGGAACGUGCCCUUUGGUUCGGAACAACUCAGGGAAACUUGAGCUAAUACCGAAUGUGCCCCCAUCCUUAAACAAGAUGGGUGGGAAAGAUUUAUCGCCAUUGGAGCGGCCCGCGUCUGAUUAGCUAGUUGGUGAGGUAAAGGCUCACCAAGGCGACGAUCAGUAGCUGGUCUGAGAGGAUGAUCAGCCACACUGGGACUGAGACACGGCCCAG